rnacentral:rRNA from 1 species
AGUGAACGCUGGCGGCGUGCUUAAUACAUGCAAGUCGAACGAUGAAGUCCUAGCUUGCUAGGAUGGAUUAGUGGCGCACGGGUGAGUAAUAUAUAGUUAAUCUGCCUUGCACUGAGGAACAACAGUUGGAAACGAUUGCUAAUACCUCAUACUCCAACUUUACAUAAGUUAAGUUGGGAAAGUCUUUUCGGUGCAAGAUGAGACUAUAUCGUAUCAGCUAGUUGGUAAGGUAAUGGCUUACCAAGGCUAUGACGCGUAACUGGUCUGAGAGGAUGAUCAGUAACAUGGAAACAGAACAACGGCACAAACCCCUCCGGGAGGAGGAAGAAGGAAUAAUGGUGAAAGGGGGAAAACCCGGAGGCACCACCGCGGGGGGGAGAAGAACAUUUUUGGGAGAAAAAUCUCCUUUUGUUAGGAAAAAAUAAGGACGGUACCUAACAAAAAAGCCCCGGCUAACUCCGUC